rnacentral:rRNA from 1 species
CCGUACCGUACCGUAACGUAACGUAACGUAACGGUACGGUACGGUACGGUACGGGUACGGGGUAACGGGUAACGGGGUAACGGGUAACGGUAAACGUAACGUACGUACCGUACGUAACCGUAACCGUAACGAACGUAAACGUAAACGUAAACCGUACGUACUACGUUAACGUAGUACGGUACGACGACGACGACGGACGGACGGACCGAACCGACGUACGUACGUGUAGUAGUAGUACGUCGACGACGUCGUCGUCGAGUAGUCGGUGUGGUCGGGCCGGGGAUCUGAUCGAACUGUCAAUCGAUCGAACAGUAAGAAAUGAUUGAUGAAGUCGAAGCACUUUUGGGUAAAGUGUCGGCACAGAAGGUAACAACCCCUGUAGACGUAAACCAAUCACUGUUGAUCGUCACCCCAAGUAGCACCCAACCCCUGAAAUUGGGUGUGAAUCUGGCGGGACCACCCGCUAAGCCUAAAUACUCCUUGGUGACCGAUAGCGGACAAGUACCGUGAGGGAAAGGUGAAAAGUACCCCGGGAGGGGAGUGAAAUAGUACCUGAAACCGUGCGCUUACAAUCCGUUGGNAGCACCCUUGUUGGUGUGACAGCGUGUCCUUUUGAAGAAUGAGCCUGCGAGUUAGUGUUACGUCGCGAGAUUAACCCGUGU